rnacentral:rRNA from 1 species
CCUACGAGUGGCUGCAGUGAGGAAUAUUGGUCAAUGGUCGGGAGACUGAACCAGCCAAGCCGCGUGAGGGAGGAAGGUACAGAGUAUCGUAAACCUCUUUUGUCAGGGAACAAAGGCGGGGACGUGUCCCCGGAUGAGUGUACCUGAAGAAAAAGCAUCGGCUAACUCCGUGCCAGCAGCCGCGGUAAUACGGAGGAUGCGAGCGUUAACCGGAUUUAUUGGGUUUAAAGGGUGCGUAGGGGGUCUGUUAAGUCAGCGGGCAAAGCUCGGGGGGCAACCCUGGCCCGCCGUUUGAACUGGGCAGUCGUGAGUAGGAGAGAGGUAUGCGGAAUGCGCGGUGUAGCGGUGAAAUGCAUAGAUAUCGCGAAGAACUCCGAUUGCGAAGGCAGCAU